GUAUUGUCAAAAUAACAUCGAUCUUAAUCUGGCGAUAAUAAAGAUUAAAAGCAUAUGAGGCAGACAUGCGCUAACAGAUGCAUGAAACUCAUGGGCUGCUAGGUAGAGGUGGUGGUGGUGGUGGUGGAGAUAGUGAAUGUGGUGAUGAUUGCAGUAGCCCAACAUGAGGUGGUGAGGGAGGAGGCACAUAAAAUUGAUGCGGCUUCCCAGGCUGAGGAGGAGGCUUCCACAUGGGACUCCCAACUCGAUCUGGGUAUACCUUCAUUUGCUUCAACAAUCGAUUUGAAGCAGCGGGCACAAAAUCCAUAUCAGAAGCAGCUUCUAAGGGUCGUGCCAUCGCCACGUAGCUCUUACCUGUGUGACUGAUCUGCAACACCACACUAUGAAUUAAUAUAACUAAAAGCAAGAAAAGAGCAUUCAUUGCAGUCACUUUGCUAUGGCAUUAUGCUUGAUCUUAUGUAUAUAUUAUAUAGAUGGAGAGGUCAAUUAGUUGACUCAUUGCUCGAGAAAUAUCAG
rnacentral:lncRNA from 1 species